CCGGCGCACGGGUGAGUAACACGUAUGCAACCUGCCUGCCACAGCCGGAUAAUCGGGAGAAAUUCCGUCUAAUACGGCAUAAUGCAUCGACGGGACAUCCUGUUGGUGCAAAGGUUAAUUCCGGUGGCGGAUGGGCAUGCGUCGCAUUAGUUAGUUGGCGGUGUAACGGACCACCAAGACGACGAUGCGUAGGGGUUCUGAGAGGAAGGUCCCCCACACUGGUACUGAGACACGGACCAGACUCCUACGGAAGGCAGCAG
rnacentral:rRNA from 1 species